rnacentral:rRNA from 1 species
UACGUAGGGACCAAGCGUUGUCCGGAAUCAUUGGGCGUAAAGAGCGUGUAGGCGGCCAGGUAGGUCUGGUGUGAAAACUCGAGGCUUAACCUCGAGAUGUCAUCGGAAACCAUUUGGCUAGAGUCCGGAAGAGGAGAGUGGAAUUCCUGGUGUAGCGGCGAAAUGCGCAGAUAUCAGGAAGAACACCAAUGGCGAAAGCAGCUCUCUGGGACGGUACUGACGCUGAGACGCGAAAGCGUGGGGAGCGAACAGG